rnacentral:rRNA from 1 species
GACGAACGCUGGCGGCGUGCUUAACACAUGCAAGUCGAACGGAAAGGCCCUGCUUUUGUGGGGUGCUCGAGUGGCGAACGGGUGAGUAACACGUGAGUAACCUACCCUUGACUUUGGGAUAACUUCGGGAAACUGGGGCUAAUACCGGAUAGGAGCUCCUGCUGCAUGGUGGGGGUUGGAAAGUUUCGGCGGUUGGGGAUGGACUCGCGGCUUAUCAGCUUGUUGGUGGGGUAGUGGCUUACCAAGGCUUUGACGGGUAGCCGGCCUGAGAGGGUGACCGGCCACAUUGGGACUGAGAUACGGCCCAGACUCCUACGGGAGGCAGCAGUGGGGAAUAUUGCACAAUGGGCGGAAGCCUGAUGCAGCAACGCCGCGUGCGGGAUGACGGCCUUCGGGUUGUAAACCGCUUUCGCCUGUGACGAAGCGUGAGUGACGGUAAUGGGUAAAGAAGCACCGGCUAACUACGUG